rnacentral:lncRNA from 10 species
GAAUCCCAGCAAGACAGAAUCAUUCAUUCUCAUGGAAAGGGGGCUGAAGCCAGGGAGCCAAGUUGUCUUGCUCAGCGGGUCCCACUCCUACGGAGCCCAGCAAGCUAAGAAACACUGGCUUGAAAUUCUCACUGCCAGCACAGCAGUCUGAAGUUGACCUGGGACAAUUGAACCUGGUUGGGGGAGGGUCGUCCACCAUUACUGAGGUUUGAGUAGGCGGUUUUCUCCUGACAGUGCUUGCUGUUCUGCAGCCUCUGCUGGCGAUACCAGCAAACAGGGUCUGAAGUGGACCUCCAGCAAACUGCAACAGACCUGCAGAAGAGAGGCCUGACUUUGAGAAGAAAAACUAACAGAAAGCAAAAAUACCAACAUCAACAAAAGGGACCCCCACACAAAAACCCUGUUCAAAGGUCAUCAGCCUCAAAAAUCAAAGAGCUAUGUAACCCAAACAGCAUGUUACUGGCAUAAAAACAUACAUGUAGAUAAUGAAACAGAAUAUGGAACCCAGAAACAAAUCCAUAAACCUACAGAGCACUCAUUUCUGACAAAGGUUCCGAGAACAUACAUGAAGGAAAGAAAAAUCUCUUCAACAAAUAGUGCUGGGAAAAUGCAUAUUCAUAUGCAGAAGAAUGAAAAUAGACCCCUACCUAUCACCAUAUACAAAAAAUCAAAUCAAAAUGGAUUAAAGUUUUAAAUCUAAGACCUCAAACUAUGAAACUACCACAGGAAAACAUUAGGAAAACUCUUUACCUUGGAAUGGAAAAAGAUUUCCUGAGUGACCAAAGCAAA